rnacentral:tRNA from 2 species
GAGAAGAGUCAAGAGACAUAGAAAUUGCUAACUAUCUACCACUGAGGUUAAAAUCCUCAGUCUACUUA